UACGUAGGGUGCGAGCGUUGUCCGGAAUUAUUGGGCGUAAAGAGCUCGUAGGCGGUGUGUCACGUCGGCCCGUGAAAACCUGCAGCUUAACUGUGGGCGUGCGGUCGAUACGGGCAUCACUGGAGUUCGGCAGGGGAGACUGGAAUUCCUGGUGUAGCGGUGAAAAUGCGCAGAUAUCAGGAGGAACACCGGUGGCGAAGGCGGGUCUCUGGGCCGAUACUGACGCUGAGGAGCGAAAGCGUGGGGGAGCAAACAGG
rnacentral:rRNA from 1 species